AGUGGGGUCGCGUCCUAUCAGCUUGUAGGCGGGGUAAUGGCCCACCUAGGCUUCGACGGGUAGGCCGGCCUGAGAGGGCGGACGGCCACAUUGGGACUGAGAUACGGCCCAGACUCCUACGGGAGGCAGCAGGUGGGGAAUAUUGCGCAAUGGGGAAAACCCUGACGCAGCGACGCCGCGUGCGGGAUGAAGGCCUUCGGGUUGUAAACCGCUUUUGAUUGGGGAGCAAGCCUUUUGGGUGAGUGUACCUUUCGAAUAAGCGCCGGGCUAACUACGUGCCAGCAGCCGCGGGUAAAUA
rnacentral:rRNA from 1 species